GACGAACCGAGCGAACGUUAUUCGGAAUCAUUGGGCUUAAAGGGCGCGUAGGCGGGCGGCCAAGUCCGGGGUGAAAGCCUCCAGCUCAACUGGAGAAGUGCCUCGGAUACUGGCCGUCUCGAGGGAGAUAGGGGCGUGCGGAACUUCCGGUGGAGCGGUGAAAUGCGUAGAUAUCGGAAGGAACACCGGUGGCGAAAGCGGCGCGCUGGAUCUCUUCUGACGCUGAGGCGCGAAAGCCAGGGGAGCAAACGGG
rnacentral:rRNA from 1 species